CCUCAAAGAGUAGAAGCGAAGCAAUGCGAACCCGAGUUCAGCAUCGUUCUCUCCUCUCUUCUUUUGUCCUGUACAGAGAACGUCGGAGAAUCAUCCAACGUGUCCCCAACUCCCAAAUCGAACGGCUCCCCUCAAAGUUUCGUUGAGGAUUUGUACAAACCACAGCUCCUUAACCUUAUCCUGCAAAAUUCGAAUUUUGAGUUGAGAAUUCAUCCAAAAAUCCAUUCUGUUUUCCCCUUAUUUUCAGCUCAUAUCAACCUCUAUAUAAACCUCAUCGUAGGGGGAUGGGAAUGAAUUUUUUUCACUGAUAAAAGAGAACGACUUCGCACAAAAUUGAUACAAAGAAUAUAUUCGAAAUACACUACAUAGUAGAGAAAAUAAUUUAUUUCAAGCUUUAGUUUCACCCUAUCUGCCCAUUACUCGCCCAAGUUCAUUUGAGUUUGAGGGCACUCGUGAAGGAAUUGGUGGUGGAAUAGCUAGUUUCAGCUUGUUUGUCCCAAUCGCUGCUCUCGAAAAGGUCGGAAUAAUCAAAACACAGGUUGCAGGGGUCAAAUUUGAAUGCAUACAUUUGUUAUACGGUUCAAUAUACAGAAAAUGGGCUAAUAUACCGUCCAUAUGCAGCAACAUACAUCCAUUGUAUACAGCAGUAUUUUCAGGAGCAAAAUUGGGCUGAAACCCAUCAGCAGACCCACUUUUAGAUUUAGGACAGGACUUGGGUCAAAAGCCCAUCUGAUUUGGAAUUUGGGUAAAGGGCCCAAAUUUAAAUAUGUUUUGUUUUACUCUUGUUUAUUAUUUGUUUGUAUUAACUAACCAUUUUAUUUGUAGUUUGGUGUUAAACUAAAUUAAUUCCCAAAAGAUAGUCAUGCCUUUUUUUAUGUUCAAAUUUAAAACUUUA